AGCGAGGGAGUUGGUUCUACCGGAUAGUAGUUGUUUGAAGUAUAAAAACUCAAAAUUUGGGGAGUCUUCAAGUUCAGGGCAUAAUUGGGUAGAAGCAGUUGCAGCCAAACGAGAAGGGAUCUUGG